AGUUUGAUCCUGGCUCAGGAUGAACGCUAGCUACAGGCUUAACACAUGCAAGUCGAGGGGCAGCAUGGUCUUAGCUUGNUAAGGCCGAUGGCGACCGGCGCACGGGUGAGUAACACGUAUCCAACCUGCCGUCUACUCUUGGACAGCCUUCUGAAAGGAAGAUUAAUACAAGAUGGCAUCAUGAGUUCGCAUGUUCACAUGAUUAAAGGUAUUCCGGUAGACGAUGGGGAUGCGUUCCAUUAGAUAGUAGGCGGGGUAACGGCCCACCUAGUCUUCGAUGGAUAGGGGUUCUGAGAGGAAGGUCCCCCACAUUGGAACUGAGACACGGUCCAAACUCCUACGGGAGGCAGCAGUGAGGAAUAUUGGUCAAUGGGCGCAGGCCUGAACCAGCCAAGUAGCGUGAAGGAUGACUGCCCUAUGGGUUGUAAACUUCUUUUAUAAAGGAAUAAAGUCGGGUAUGUAUACCCGUCUGCAUGUACUUUAUGAAUAAGGAUCGGCUAACUCCGUGCCAGCAGCCGCGGUAAUACGGAGGAUCCGAGCGUUAUCCGGAUUUAUUGGGUUUAAAGGGAGCGUAGAUGGAUGUUUAAGUCAGUUGUGAAAGUUUGCGGCUCAACCGUAAAAUUGCAGUUGAUACUGGAUAUCUUGAGUGCAGUUGAGGCAGGCGGAAUUCGUGGUGUAGCGGUGAAAUGCUUAGAUAUCACGAAGAACUCCGAUUGCGAAGGCAGCCUGCUAAGCUGCAACUGACAUUGAGGCUCGAAAGUGUGGGUAUCAAACAGGAUUAGAUACCCUGGUAGUCCACACGGUAAACGAUGAAUACUCGCUGUUUGCGAUAUACAGCAAGCGGCCAAGCGAAAGCGUUAAGUAUUCCACCUGGGGAGUACGCCGGCAACGGUGAAACUCAAAGGAAUUGACGGGGGCCCGCACAAGCGGAGGAACAUGUGGUUUAAUUCGAUGAUACGCGAGGAACCUUACCCGGGCUUAAAUUGCAGAUGAAUUACGGUGAAAGCCGUAAGCCGCAAGGCAUCUGUGAAGGUGCUGCAUGGUUGUCGUCAGCUCGUGCCGUGAGGUGUCGGCUUAAGUGCCAUAACGAGCGCAACCCUUGUUGCCAGUUACUAACAGGUUCCGCUGAGGACUCUGACAAGACUGCCAUCGUAAG
rnacentral:rRNA from 1 species